UACGUAGGGGGCGAGCGUUGUCCGGAUUUAUUGGGCGUAAAGAGCUCGUAGGCGGUUUGGCAAGUCGGGUGUGAAAACUCCGGGCUCAACUCGGAGACUCCACUCGAUACUGCUAUGACUCGAGUCCGGUAGGGGAGUGCGGAAUUCCUGGUGUAGCGGUGAAAUGCGCAGAUAUCAGGAGGAACACCGGUGGCGAAGGCGGCACUCUGGGCCGGAACUGACGCUGAGGAGCGAAAGCGUGGGGAGCGAACAGG
rnacentral:rRNA from 1 species